rnacentral:misc_RNA from 1 species
CCGAAUCGUCAAACACGGGUUGUCGCUGGCCCUCAAAAGGGGCACGUGCACGCUCUGUUUACACAUCCAUCCACACCCGUGCACCCUCUGUAGUUCUGUGGUUUGGGAGACCCUGUCUUCCUUCCGUAGCUCUACGUCUUUACACACACGCUGUAACGAAGUCUUGUGGAAUGUUUUUCUGCGUUUAACGCGAUACAAUA